AGCGAAUUGGUGUAAUUGGUAACACACAGGGCUCAUAACCCUGAGUUAUAGGUUCGAGUCCUAUGUUCGCUUCCA
rnacentral:tRNA from 1 species